rnacentral:rRNA from 1 species
GACGAACGCUGGCGGCGUGCUUAACACAUGCAAGUCGAACGGAAAGGCCCUGCUUGCAGGGUACUCGAGUGGCGAACGGGUGAGUAACACGUGGGUGAUCUGCCCUGCACUUCGGGAUAAGCCUGGGAAACUGGGUCUAAUACCGGAUAGGAGCCAUUUUUAGUGUGAUGGUUGGAAAGUUUUUUCGGUGUAGGAUGAGCUCGCGGCCUAUCAGCUUGUUGGUGGGGUAAUGGCCUACCAAGGCGGCGACGGGUAGCCGGCCUGGGAGGGUGGACGGCCACAUUGGGACUGAGAUACGGCCCAGACUCCUACGGGAGGCAGCAGUGGGGAAUAUUGCACAAUGGGCGCAAGCCUGAUGCAGCGACGCCGCGUGGGGGAGGACGGCCUUCGGGUUGUAAACUCCUUUCGCUAGGGACGAAGCUUUUUGUGACGGUACCUAGAGAAGAAGCACCGGCUAACUACGUG